rnacentral:lncRNA from 1 species
GGAGACACUUCAACAGCCACCCUGACACCACAGCCCAGGGGCUGGUUACUUGCUUCUGUCUCCAGCAGCCACACAAGCACCAUGAAGAGGCUGCUGUGCUCUCUGCUGGGGCUUCUGUGCACCCAGGUUUGCUGUGAGUCUGGGUGUCCUCACCUGAGAGGCACCUGAGAGGGCACCUGAGAGGAUCUGGCUCAGCACAUGGAGGGGUGGGGAGAGCAGCUCAGGAGUCCUGCAGAGCUCCCACCUUCUCAGAGGAUAUGGGUGUGCUCAGGGCUCUGUGGACACUGCAGUGACAGCCAUCUGUGUCUCUUUCUCUGUUUCUAAUCAGGGGUGAAAGGACAGCAAGUGCAGCAGAGCCCCGCGUCCUUGGUUCUGCAGGAGGGGGAGAACGCAGAGCUGCAGUGUAACUUUUCCUCCACAGCAACCCAGCUGCAGUGGUUUUACCAAAGUCCUGGGGGAAGCCUCGUCAGCCUGUUGUCCAAUCCUUCUGGGACAAAGCACACUGGAAGACUGACAUCCACCACAGUCACUAAGGAACGUCGCAGCUCUUUGCACAUUUCCUCCUCCCAGACAACAGACUCAGGCACUUAUCUCUGUGCUAUAGAUCCACAGUGCUCCCCACACACCUGCAGCCUGUACACAAACCUACAGCUGGGUGGGUGAGUCCCUUACAAGUCACAAGAAAUCAGAGAGUCCCAAAGAACAUCUGCCUGGCUUAAUAUCCCUUUCUUGUAUUUGUAGAGUUUUAACUUCAGGUAAGCUUUGGCCUAGUAGGUUCAGGACUUGGGUCUUUAUCUUCAUUUCUCAAUACAUAGUUCUUCCUGAGACAUAAAUGUCCAUUCUAGAACUAGCAGAGAAGCUGGCAGGAGGAUUGAAUCAAGGUGAUCAUUUAAGCAGUCUGUGCAGAAACGGCUGCUGAGCUCUCUGCUGGGGCUCCUGUGCUGUGAGUCUUUGAGGUUUGUGAGGUUUGCUGUGAGUCUGGCUCUCAGCAUUCAGGGCACCUAAGAGGAUCAGGCUCAACACAUGGAGGGGUGGGGAGAGCAGCUCAGGAGUCCUGCAGAGCUCCCACCUUCUCAGAAGACAUGGGGGUGUUCCGGGCUCUGUGGACACUGCAGUGACAGCCAUCUGUGUCUCUAAAGUAUGAAAAAGUACUCAAACAGAUAUUGUUAUUUGAACAAUAUAUAUAGCCCUGUAUAUAUAUAUCACUGUAUAUAUAUAUAUAUAUAUAUAUAUAUAUAUAGUUUAAAUAACUUAAAAUAGAAUAUUUUCAAAGCCUUUACAACUUGAUAAAAGAGAAUGAUUGACUCCUUCUAUAAUGAGAAAAAUGAGCAGACUCUCUAAAUGAACGUGUAUGGGAUAAGGACAAAUACGUAGAAUGCAGUUAGGGAUUGUCUGGUUUAGUACAGUGGUUGUUGCAGGGUCUCCAUGACAUUACUAGAAGAUGGAGGUCAGUGCAGAAAACCACAACAAAUCAAGGUGCAGCGCUGCGGAGCAUAGUAACAGUAGAUAUGUCUACAGUACAACUCCUCCUCCUGCUAAGGCUCAGGAAACACUGAAGAAGACAGGAGGAAAGAUGGCUAGAGCCACAGGAUCAGGGUGUUGCUUUGUAAUUGCGACUCCUAGGAAAGUCGGAAGUUGCACAGAUGAGAUCUCAUCAACAUAUCUCCUCAAUGUGAGCUGAAACACAACAGAAAAAGUAGAUGGGGAAAGCACACGUGUUCCCAAUCUUAGACAAUGAACUACUGGAAACCAAGGAUGCUGAUGGUGGAGAAAUAGUCUUUUCCUGAGAUAAGCACACCAAAUGGUUAUCCAAUACUGAUUGGUCAGUCCUGAGAACACGCAUACUAGUAACACGAUAUAGACUGAACAAGUUGUUGUAUGUAUGCCUUUAUGAAUAAAUAUGUGUACACAUACAUAUGAAACAACAAUCAAUGAAAAUGGAGGUCAUAAAUUGGAAAGAGCAAAUAGAUGGGGAGCUUGGGGAAGAGGAAAAGGAAGGGGGCAUUGAUGUGAUUGUAUGUAAUCCCCAAACUAAGAGAAACAUAAAAAUUAGCAGAAAAAGUAUGCUUAUGGUUUAAUAAUCAUCAUUUGUACAAGUGGCCUGUAUAAGAGGUAAAUAAAAUAUAACUCAUGUCAUUC